GUCAGUAUGGAGGUGCUGGACAGCGUCUGAGCGUCUAGGGGGCUGGAAGCAGUGCUGCCUCCGGUCCACCAGGGGCAGCGUGUUCACGGUCGUAGACGUCCUCCUCCGGUUUGGGGAUGUAGAACUGCACCUGUGUCUCGAUCAGGAACUUCAGCCGCAGAGAAGCAAUACUUUAGAAAGGAUGUGUGAAGAAGGAAGGAGACAGCUUGACUGGGCAGAGGCUCAUGAGACAAAUACCCAGAGCGUCACGAGCAGAUGGUCUCCAGGGUGUCGAGCGCGGACUCUCCAGGUCGCACGAUGGCUAGCACGGGGCGCCCGUUGGGCAGACACACCCAGGAGGGCGUGAGGUGGCCUCUUGCCCAGGCGUCCUGCUCUGCUCCUGGCCUCACCCCCACAGUGAUGAGAAGCGGCUCUUGCGUUUGCUGGUGGAGCGUGACAUGGCGUGAGCCCGCCUGCGAACACCACUUUCUGAACAAAAAGCCCAGUCCAGACUAAAAGACCAAACGAGCAUGCUGGGAUAGAGGAGGAAUCUGAGGAGAUGGCGCAGAGCAGGGCGGCAUCACCCAGUCCUGAACGUUCCUGUCCAAACCGCACACAACGCGUGCGGCUGUACACG